GCCUAGUUAGCUUAGUUGGUAGUGCGUCUGCCUUGUAAGCGCUAGGCCGCAGGUUCAAUUCCCGCCUGGGGCG
rnacentral:tRNA from 1 species